rnacentral:rRNA from 1 species
GACGAACGCUGGCGGCGUGCCUAAUACAUGCAAGUCGAACGCAGUGGGGACGGGUGAGUAACACGUGGGUAACCUCCCAUCAGAGGGGAUAACACUUGGAAACAGGUGCUAAACCGAUAGUGCUGGCUGGACACGCGGUGCAUUAGCUAGUUGGUGUGGUACAGGCGCACCAAGGCCACGAGGCAUAGCCGACCUGAGAGGGGUAUCGGCCACACUGGGACUGAGACACGGCCCAGACUCCUACGGGAGGCAGCAGUGGGGAAUAGUGCACAAGGGGCGCAAGUCUGAUGCAGCCAUGCCGAGGGUGUGAAGAAGGCCUUCGGGUUGUAAAGCACUUUCAGCGAGGAGGCGUUACUCGCAUAAGAAGCACCGACUAACUCCGUGCCAGCAGCCGCGGUAAUUC